CUAAACAACCCAAUUUUGUGUUGACAGCUGGUGGGAUGGUGGACCGAUUUCCCCCUCUGACUUAUUUCCUGUUGCACGAUGCCUACUGUGCAAUAUUACUGGGAUAUGUCAGCCGUGGAGCUACCUUACUGGCAUGACUGUUGUCCCCACUCUCCUUUCUACAAUGAAGAAUUCACCGUUCAGCUGAAUGGGAAUGAAGGAGAGAAGCACUGCGUCAAGUAUGUUCCUUGGACCCUGGGUUUGCCUGAGCUGCUGGGACAAUUAAAGAAAUAGACUUGAGAAGAACUCACAUACCUGUGAGUGGGGCCUGAUGGUAUGUGGUACUAGGUGGGAUCUCUGGAUAUGAUGGGCUGGAGGUUAGAGGACACGCUGUCUGUCCCUGAGGAUAUAGAGCAAACCCUGCCCCUGCAGGGACCUGGCUGAGUAGGUGCCACCACCCCGUAUUAAAGAAUUUGACUUGAUAACCUGGUUAGAUUUAGUUCUGUCCUUAAUGUUAAUCAUUAAUUGCAUUGUGUGGUGUAAAUGGCAAUCAACCAGAAAAUAAGAUAAUGAGUUCCUACACUACUCCUAACUAGCCUGGAAACUUCCAGAAAGUUCUGUAAAUUCUAGAGCCUUGCUUUCUUCACUUAUCAAAUUAGAGGGCUGUAAUUCUGGCUUUGGUGGUUUAUGAUUCACAGAGCUAAUACUGAAAUACAUUAGAUUUUGUGCAAGCACUUCCAUGAGCUUCUUGAAAAAAAGUGGGGAGAGAGGUAGUGUUAUUAUACGAACAUUCAUCAUCUGACUGGGUAUUGUUAUAGAGACAGUUAUACCUUUAAUAGAAGAUGGAAGAUAUAAUGACAAAAGGAAGCCCAUGUAUUAUUUCAGUAAAUGAUAUGAAUCUAUUUGAAUAUGAAACUAUUUGAUAUGAAACUAUUGCCACCACUUAAGAAACUUCCGCCUCAUGUAUAUAAAAGUUAAAAGAGAAGUAGAGGGCCUAUUUAGGAUAAGGAAGUGACAUUACAAAACAUAGAAUGUAUUUUGCAACUUUUCUACCUGCCUUGGUUAGAAGAGGGGAAUGGUUAUUUAAUAACUUUAUCCUCAAAAGCUUCUGUGAUUUACAGGUUUUCAAAAGGGUAAUAUUCUGAUGGUGAAUAAUCCAGUUGUCAAAUUAUUUGCUAAAUCACAGGAAUUAUUUACUAUUUUCCUGAUCUUAAUUUGCAGAUGUGUACAAACUAAAGAAUUUAGGGCAUCUCAGACAAGAAAAAGCUAAAGGAGUUCAUCACC